CCCACCUGAGGGCUUUUUUCUACUCGGCGAUGGUGGGUACCCAUGCCUCCGGUAGCCGAUCACCCUCCUGACGCCCUAUCGCCAGCCAGUUGCCAGCCAAGUAGAGGCUCGCUACAACAGACACCACGCCAAGGCAAGAAACAUCGUUGAGCGCGCCUUUGGUGGUCUGAAGACACGGUGGCGCUCGAUCUUCUUUAAGGCGCUGGAGCUCCGCCCGACGUUUGCCCCCAAAGACAUCGCCGCCUGCUGCAUCCUCCACAACAUUUGUCUCGAGGCAGGUGACCAGGUUGAUGUGGAGGAGGAGGUUGACCCAGAGGAGGAUGGUCAUCCAGCGGCUGAAGACCGGGAGAUGUCUGGAAGCUGCCUGCGAGCCAGACUGGCAGCCCAGCUUUCUUGUCCAGCAGAGCUGCCUGAAUUUUUAAGUGAACACGACUACAUCUGACUUAACAGAUGUAGUCGUGUUCACUUCCUGCUUCAUUUCAUUGUCUUCCACCACUACCUGUCAAAAUAUGUAAAAUAAUAAUUAAAUUCAUUUCAGUUCCAACUAUUUAAUUGUGUGUUUUGGAGGCAUUCCCUAUUUGUAUAUGUUAAUAGAAGUUAUUUCUUUGUUUU